rnacentral:misc_RNA from 1 species
GCCACCAGGCAUUGGAUUCUAUGGGCAAAACCAUCAACCAGCUACUCCUCCAGUACCGCGGCAGUGAGUCUUCCUUUGAAGCCAAUGGGACAAAAGGCCUUCAGGAGGUCAUUGGUUUUAUGGUUCAAGUCAUCAGUAAACUCCACAGAUGGCAUAGGGGUGAAUGCCGGUUGAAAAAAUAAUGAGCCUGGAGGUUCUCCUCUGAGCUUUGUGAUAUUAUGUAUAUUAAUAGAAAAGUAGGCGCACCUAGAGGCUUCAUUUGAUGUCUGUUGAGAUGCACAUUACCUCCUUCAUCCCAGACGAAUCUUCAAUUGAACCAAAUAUCUGUCAGGUUAAUUGGGAGCUCGGCACAAAUGAAAUUUUCCUAGAUUGCUGUAUCUUAAUCUAACUGUUCAUGUACCAUUAACUAUAUAUAUCAUCUGCACUGCAUACUUAUGGGAGCCUUGCAACGGAUUGUAACUAAUCUUUGAUUUCCUUGUGGGUUUGCUUAUGCUUUGUUAGUUGUACAGGGGCCUUUAUUGGUGGCUGCCCAGGUAAAUUCUUUACUUCCUAGUUAGGUUUUGCCAUGAAACUGCUUCUACUGCUUUCUUAGGUGCAGUCAUAAACCGUCUACGGAAAAUAGGUAGGAGCAAAAAAUUGGUCUUGGCAUAUGAUCGGCUCUACCAAUUAUCAAUUCAGGGACGAAAUGAGUUUUUG